AUGCAUCUAUUUGACAGGCCUGGAGCAGUUCCUGUCACGUGUCCACUCCAGAUGCAAGAACAAAGCAUCCUUGCGCUUUCGGUCUGUCGAUGGUGACAGCCCAGACUGAAUGGGGGAAUACAGGA